GCGGUGGAGCACGUGGUUUAAUUCGAUGCAAACCGAAGAACCUUACCUGGGUUUGACAUGCAGGUGGUAGAGAGAAGAGAUUUAAUCGACUCUGCAGUAAUGCAGAGAGCCUGCACAGGUGCUGCAUGGCUGUCGUCAGCUCGUGUCGUGAGGUGUCGGGUUAAGUCCCAUAACGAGCGCAACCCCUAUCAUUAGUUGCCAUCAGGUCAAGCUGGGGACUCUAAUGAAACUGCCUACGCAAGUAGUGAGGAAGGUGGGGAUGACGUCAAAUCAGCACGGCCCUUACGUCCAGGGCUACACACGUGCUACAAUGGCCGGUACAAAGGGCAGCUACCUGGUGACAGGAUGCUAAUCUCAAAAGCCGGUCUCAGUUCGGAUCGGAGUCUGCAACCCGACUCCGUGAAGCUGGAAUCGCUAGUAAUCGUGAAUCAGAAUGUCACGGUGAAUACGUUCCCGGGCCUU
rnacentral:rRNA from 1 species